CAGAACCUCCGUCACCACUGAGGACGCGGCCCAGCUCAGUCACCUGGCCAGGGAGGCCCCGGACCCCGCCCCGGGGCUUCCCACGGAUUCACCGCCGGCUUCCCUGCCGCCCCGCCCACCGCCCCACGCGAGGCUCUGCACAGCCACAGGCGAACAGCACAGCCCCGCACACACAGCCCUGCCGCCGGCACCGAGGGCGCUCAGCAACCACCCGGCAAACCUGCGAAACCAGGACGCGUCUACAAGCGGCAGGGGACCCAGCGCCAACGCCACGCCCGUUCCUCGAGGACGAGACCCAGGAGAGGAGCCGAGGGAAUUAAUACCGAGGGCGGGUCGUGGGCCAGAAGCCGGUGAGCUCCCCGUUUCCGGAUAAGCUCGUCCAGGGAGAUGUCCGCCAUCUUGCACCACGGAGCAGCUCGGAUUCCCUCACUCCUCGAGACCGCCCCUUCAGCCGCUACUGAGGAGCUGUUUCCGGCGUUUCCUUGACGAAUUCUCGCGACAGUUCAAAGUAGGCAGAACCGGAAGGGCCGGAGCGCUCCCCGUGAGCCUUAGCGGCGCUAGCCGCUUAUCUGCAUACGAAGUGUGAGGUGGGGAAACUGAGACCAGGAGAGGGGAGACCAGACGCAAUUCAUGCCCUUCUUCCCUGCUCCAGGAGACAGCUUCCAGCGGGCUCAGGCAGAUGUGCGUUCAGACCCUGACCCUCAGGCCCGUUUUCUCACCCUCCAGAUGGAGGCAGGAAUGAGACGACCGACUGUGUAUCCAGUGCUCAGCAGAGCCCAGCAUACAGUGGGUGUGAAGGGCCAUGGGGGCCUGGGGUUCCCAGGUCAGUCCCUCUCCUGACCACUGGAGACAGAAUAGAAGGCUGGAAAAGCCUCGCUAAAGCCCUGGACACCAACGGAAACAGCUCUGGAAGCCAAGGGCAAGCGCAGGAGACCAAGGGCCUGGCUGGAUGGACACUCACGGCACCGCUCUACGGGGUCCCGUGCCAGGGGCCACAGUCCCAGCUUGCCUUGGUGAUGGGGUGCUGAGCAAUGGAGCAUUCUCUAUCGUAUGGGCACUGACCACAUCCCCUUUUCCCUUCGGCUGCUGGGAAGCUCAGGAGCUGCAGCAAGUGUGCAUCCCAGUCCAUGGUUUCGUACAAACCUCGUUCCUGAUUCUAUGGCACGCCCUGCCCUUGUCUUCCUCACCCGCUCUCUGUUUGUACCCCUCUGACUCACGCUGGGAGUCUUCUUAAGCUGCCUAACAGCCUUCUGGAAUGAGUCAGGGCACAGACACGUGACAUUUUUAUAGCUGGGAACGUAUCUGAAAGGACCUCGUAAAAAACCGCAGGGAACGGAACUGUAUUUGCUCACGGGUGGAAUGUGCAGGCCUAUGGCACACCCCCAUUUCUACAGACUGUGCUUUUCUCCACGCGUGCACGGAGGUGGCUUAUGGGGGAGCGUGUCCGCUGCAUCUGCCACAUGGGCGGGCCCCUCUCCUGUGCCCCCGCUGAGCUCAGGAUGGCUGUGCUGCUCAGCUGCCAUUUCUUUCUCAGCAUCUACAAGCCCAGCUUCUGCUAACGUUACAGCCACACCUUAAUGCUCUCGAAACGGGGGUCAGGGGACGCUAAGCAUAAAUGUAAACGAGAGGAGAAAGCCCACGGCCCCUCCCUGGGCCCCGAACUGGUCCUGCUCGACAGUCCCUGGGAGGCGGCAUUUGGUCUUGGCGUUGCCGUGUGCCGCCAGCAGGGGUCAGUGUUGGCCCCUCCUCCAGGGGACGGGCCGUCCAUUGGCAACAGGCAAGGCGGUUCCAUGGUGGCUGGUGAGCCUCCCCUACCACUCCAGAACCUGCACCAGAACACAGCUACCUACCCCUCACUCUCCCCUUUUUUGUUGAGACCUGGGUGCAAGAGAAAGGUUCCUUUCUUUGCUAGAAGAGCAGCUCUGACUCGCAGAACCAGUGCCCUCACCCCACCCCCACCCCCCGGCCUUCACUCAAGGCCUUGCCCGACCAACGGUACUGUCUUCCCGGGUCUCACUGGCCACCUGCUACCAUGCUGUGAUUUACUAAUAAACCUGCUUCCUUCCCACUGGAACAUCAGCCCCGGGGCCAGGCUGGCUUCAUGAGCACCCACAGCGGGGGACCCGACCGGGAGGGGACCUGUAACCCAGGUGAGCUGGCCCAGGAUGGCCAGUCCAGCCAGAGGCCUCAGGACACAGCCGUCAGGUCCGCAGUCCAUCUAGCCCGGGUCUGGCUCUCGGCCAGGAGGCCCAGGACCCGAUUUGGUCAGGACGGGUGACUUGGAAACAGGCCCACGUGUCUAUGAGACGUUGUAUACGAUGCAGGGGCAUCACAGCCUGAGGAGAGAUGGACAUGGGUGUCCAUCUGUAAAUAUCUAAUGUAAAUAUCUGAUAUGCAGGAUGGUCUUGGGCGACUCCUGCUGGCCCCUGGCACGGGACCCCGUAGAGUGGUGCCGUGAGUGUCCAAGCCAGGGCUCGGGUGGAGCCUGUGAGCUCAAGCCCAUCCCUCAUGUUUUCCAGCUGUGUGACGGGCGCAGAUCACGGCGUCCCUCUCUCAGAGAGCGGUGUGUUCCCCCCACAUGGUUGAGUCCCAGUGAACUGUGGGGCUGGGUGAGAAGCUGGAGGCCAAGCAAGGGGGGCUGGCAGAACCGAAGGAGAUUACAAGCUGGCGCCUACAUGGCUACUUAGAAAAUGUUAUUUCUAACAUUUGAAAUUUCCCAUGAAAAUGCAGGUCCAGCUCCCUUAAGGAGUGGAGAGGCCUGGUCUGCAGGCGGAAUUCCUGUGUGGCUGACUGACAUGCAGCUGAGGGGCAGAUGCUCUCCAAUUCGCCCCACUCCCCACCACUCCCUAUUGCCUCUAACCCCAAGCAAACAUCACCGCUAUUAUCUACCAAGAAGCCUGACCUGCUGCUUUUCCCACAGCAACGAAGAUAACUGUUUGCAUCCGCAUCUACCGAAGGCAGGAGAUGAAGUCGUUUAGCUCCCAGAGGGCAACCUUGUUCAAGGUGGGGGGCAGCCCUCACUCACUGUCUCCUACAUGGUUUUGGCUCCUCCACAAUCAGCUGUGUGACCCUGCAAACAGCUUAAACACCUGGACAGGCAGGGGUGACCGUCCGUCAGUCUAGCCCACUCCCAGGCUGACGACUGGAGAGAAAAAUGGGCCUAACAGGGUACAAACCACAGGGUGGGAGCCAUCAGCCCCCAGCUCGGCCCCUGGAGACCUGCCCACAGUGAGUCCCAGCCCCAGGGGAAGGCCAGCCUCCUUCGUCCAGCAGGGGGCAGUGCAGCCAGGGCUGGGGAGGAGCCCGUGAGUUCAAGCCCGUCCCUGAUGUUUUCCAGCUGUGUGACAGGCGCGGAUCACGGCGUCCCUCUCUCAGGCCACGGCGAGAGCAUGCAGAGGAGAGCAGGCGCCAAGGAGCCCAGCGCCCCCACCAGCCCGCCCUGCCCGGGCGCCCACCACUCACCCUC